rnacentral:rRNA from 1 species
CUUGGCGGCCGUAGCGCGGUGGUCCCACCUGACCCCAUGCCGAACUCAGAAGUGAAACGCCGUAGCGCCGAUGGUAGUGUGGGGUUUCCCCAUGCGAGAGUAGGGAACUGCCAGGC